UUCGCCUCUCUCUGUCUCUCUCUCUGUCUCUCUGUCUCUCUCUGUCUCUGUCUCUCUCUGUCUCUGUCUCUCUCUCUCUCCCUCCUAACUAUUUACAGUAUGACUGGCUGUCCACUGCUGUGCCUUCCUCGCUGUGAUAAGCCUUCAAUCUGUGCGCCAAGAUCAGCUUUCCUUCCUAAAGACGCUUUCUCUGGUGUUUUGUCCAGCAAGAAGACAAGUGACUGAUGCAGGCCCCUUUCUAUAAUGCACUAACUUAUGAAUGACAGUGUCUCUCCUGUGAGCUAAGCUCCAAUCAAGGUCCUUCCAGUGCUGUCAAGGCGUAUAAUGUCAUUAUCCAGACUCUCCUCAAUUCAGUUCAAGGGCACAGAUGAUUUGUAGACGUUCUCUCAAGUGAAAGCAGAAGCUGAAGCCUGGCUUGCUGAGGGGAAGAGAACAACUCAAUUUGGAAGAAGAGCUGAUUUCCCAGGUAAUUGAAGGUUAUAUUGACCUCGCUCCCCCGUGGG
rnacentral:lncRNA from 1 species